rnacentral:siRNA from 1 species
UACCCUCUGCUAGAUGAACGUUGU